UCUGGUAGCAGGUGUCCAUGAGCGCCCGGGCCAGCUCCAUGUGGUCGGCGGGCAGGCCGUGGUGGGCGCCCAGAGCCAGCGUCCCUGGCAGGAAGCACACCAGGUGGUCCUGAAACCAGAGCGGUUUCCUCACCACUACUCGCGAAGCCAUCGGGGGCCCAGAAAAACGGGUGCGUGCGGCCCCCUACGCCCCACCUGCAUCACGACCGUGCUCACCAUCUUGGCGCUGAAGCGGCCGUGGGCCAGCUCCCCCACAAAGGUGAGCUUCCUGGGCUCAGACCUGCGCAGCAGGUGCCUUUUGAUUCCCUCGACGGCUUCGAGGUAGUCUUCCAGUAACCUGUGAACCGGCAGGCCCCGUGGGCUCAGGCCAGGUGGGUGCGCGGCCCGACCCCCCGCCCGGUUACCCAGGAGCGGGCACGUGGCCACGAGCUGCCAUCCCCACGCUAGUGGCCAAGAGGCCUGGCCCUGUCUGGGGUGGCACCACGCCAGCCUGGAGAUGCAGGCUCGUGGCAGUCGGCGGCCUGGGGCACACACGGGGCUGUGCCCGCCGCUCCCCCGAACAGGGUCGUUCCUCUCAGCCGGCCCCCGUGGACCACCCGGGACCCCACGUGCCCACCAGGGUUCUCUCAACGUCCCCACCACGUUCAGGCGUGGGGAACUCCGGCUCCCCAGGCGUCAUGCCCUGAUCUCUGCCCGUAGGGGUCGGCCUCCUGGAGCUGCCCACCCCCAGCGGUCCUGGGCCGUGGUCACCCCCUGGCGUGAGACUUCAAGGAUUUCCAGUCCCUUCACUAGAGUGACCUGCGUUUUCCCGACCGCACGACGAGGCUCCCCGAGGCGCUGCCGUCUGGGAAAGCGCACGUCUGAAGCGUCAACCAGGCAGCGCGGGGAGGCCCAGGGGCCCCUGGCCACCUUCUGCUGGGGAGCGGACAAGCAGAGCCGCCUCCACAACCCCGAGGACGAGAGCUCGGCCGGUGAGCCGGGGGCCCCUCGGCCGGGCCCAGACCCCAGGCCCUGCCUGGCGCAGAGGGGCCGGGGACCUCCGUGACCAGCCAGGCGUCCUCUCUGGCACGAAGGCCGUGCCGGGAAGAGACACAUCCCCCGCGGAGGGGCCGAGUCCGGGUCCGGCACGGCCGCUGCCUCCUGACCGAGAACUCGGGACAAGGGGAGCCUCGGGGACCCCGUCCCCGAAGCAGCAGAAACAGGCCUCACUGCGUCUCCUUCUUUCCGCCCUGGAUCCACUGCUUCAACAGGUACUCGUAGUAGCUGUCGGCCCUGGCGCCCAGAGUGAACACUCCCAUGUGAGUGAAGAGGCCGCUGUGCGUGUUGAUGAACAUGGGCACCAGCCCGUCCUUCUUCCCCGACAGGGAGUGCACACGCCUCGUCACCUCCUCCGCGGCCUCCUGGGACACACACACACACAAGGGGAGAGUGCGGGUGAGCCAGGGGGACGGGGCUGCCGGACCUCGGGCCAGCCGAGGAAGGCGGGCCUCGUCGGGUCGGCUCACCCCUCCUCCGUGACAGGCGGGCCCGUUCCCAGCGGAGGACGGAAGAGGACGGAAGAGGCCGGUGUCCCGGCCCACGGCGCUCCCCUGCCCGGCUGCACCGGGCAAGGGCUUCUGAGGGUGGCCCCAGCCACGCGGCAACCAGGUCCCCACCCUCACACGCGGCUGCCUCCAUGAGCGGGCAGAUGCCGAGGGCCCCGAACACGGGGCUGAGCUCCUCCUCCUGGCAGGGGACCGUGUCUGAAGGCCACAGCCGCGGUCCCCGGGACCUCCUGCCCAGGCGUGGCCGUCUGCUCCCGCUCGCUGGAGGGAAGGCGGGCGCGUCUGCUUCCGAGCCCGCGGUCGCGGCACACCCGCCCGCGCCGAUCCUGUUCAUCCUUCGAGACCCAACCAACCUCAGCUCCUCCCGGGCAGCGCCACGCAUCUGUGCUCCAUGGCCCUGUGCGCGUUUGCUCGCGGCGCUCGGGACCCUGCCUGGGGAGUGACUUCCUGGCCUCCACCCGCCACGUACGCCCGCCCCUUUUUACAAAGUCCUCUGAGGCAGGGGCGGCUUCAAUUUCCCUUGGGUCUCCAGCAGCUACAGAGAUCCCGGCAUCGCAACGGCGCCCGGCCGGCGUCUCAGAGCAAACAGAGAGACGCUGAGCUUCCGGAGUACGAGCCAACGACAGGAAAGCCGCUAAUCCGCCGACAAGCAGACAGGCACCCGGACGCCCACCUCCACCCGGGGGAUGAACACGGGGCCUGCGGGCGUUUGGAAAACGCCACACGUCAUCAGGACAAAACCCACAGCCCAGAGGAGGCACCCUCACGUGCCCACCGCGAAGGCUACCGAGAAAGACCCGAGGACAAGCGCGGGCUGCCGCGGAAAAGCCAGAGCCCUGUGUGCGCCUGGAACCUUCUCCCGGGAGCGCCGCUCUUACCACCCCCGCGUGGGAAACAACCCAGCUGCUCCUCCACGCACGAGAGCCCGGACAGCACGUGGUCCGACCGCACGAUGGCAGACCACCGGGCCACGAAAAGGGAUGCUUCGGACACGUGCUACGACACGGGCGCGCCUCUCCGGGACGCUUCCAGCGCGGACGAAGACGUCACGCGUGGCGACAGAACCGGCCACAGACGGCCCACGCCGUACGUAGGACCUCACUCACGCCGAGCAUUCCAAACAGAGAAAGCCACGCACGACAAGUGGAUUUGCGGCCACCGAGGCAGGGGGCCCGGGUGGGAGCGCUAGGGUGCGCUGGCCCACUUCCUGAGGCGAGGACCUGGCUCUGGAAUCAGACGGUGGCAGCCGCUGCCCACGUGGGACUGUGGCACGACGUUCAAGCCAAGAGGCAAAACUUCCUGACGUUCAAAUCGCAGCUCAGGUUUUUAAGGCAGAGGAAGAGUGACGAGGCAGAGCGCCAAGUCCAGAGGGUCCGCCGCGUGCUGGAGACUCACCCACAAGGAGAGGGACCCCGGCCAACGGGGUCGGGGCGAGGGUCAGGAGCGAGGUCCACAAGGACCGUCAGCGACGGGCUAGCGAGGCCGAAACCCACGACCGUGGGCCCCUGCCUCGCUCCCGGCACGGACCACCCCCGGGGGCCACCACAGCACGAGGCAGGGGGCAGUUGGGACCCCAAGGACACAGGCCCGCGCUCGGACUCAGCCCCCAGUCGACACCCUUCCCGCCCGCGCAGCUGAGGAAAGGCGAGGAACGAGGGACCGGGAAGCACACAGGACGGUGGUCCCGCGGCCCGGGGUCAAGUCCACGCACGCCUCCGCUUGGUGUGACGCCUCCGGCCGGCAGGCCGGCCCCCCGUACCUGAAACUUCUUACUCCCCGUGAGGCGGGAGAGCUCUCGGAACUCCAGCUGAAUGCUCGUGACCUCGGCCACCGUGCUGUCCGAGGUCCAGCGGGGCGGGUGGGCGGCUCCGGUGCCGAUGUUCACGUCCGAGUAUGGGAUCCUGGAGGGCGUCUGGAACGCGGGCAGCAGCCGAUUCCCAAAGUCUUCCUGAUGACGCGACACGACGAGGACCGAGGUUUCCCGUCACACGCCAGCCUCGGCUCCGUUCCACGACGCCCGCCCUCCCGCCCCACCCCCGCCACCCCGCCACCCGUGCUCACCCCCGUAAGUGGACACGGGACCUCACUGGCUUCACGUGGCCUCGGCGCUCAACGGCGGUGAGACCGAGGAGCCCCGAGAGCGCUUCCCCACGGGUCGCGACGGUGACAGGGACCUUCCCACGCACGUGCGCGGGAGCGAGACCCAGACGACCGGGGAGACGGGAGACCCGGAACAGACCCCCGCCCCCACCCCCCGGGGGCCCCUCGAGCCGCGGAACCUCCACCGGCGCCCGGACACUCACGGCCUUCCUCAGGAAGAGGUCGUCCCCGGACAGGUGGUAAGCGCUCAGAAGGCCGCCCAGGAUCCGGAUCGUGCUCUCGAACAGGUUGACGUCCACGUCUUUCUGAAACCGGAGCUUCUUAGACACCCACUUGCGGGCUUCUUCAAACUCUGCGACGGGAGACGGGUGGGAGCGGCAGUAGGUUACAGGUCCCGGCGCCCCCGGGACCGCUCGCUGGCUCUGGGGCCACGUGCGUCCUCGUGUCUCUCUCUCCCGAGGGGCCUCGCCAUCACUUCCCACGGCAAGGGGACACACCGCGGAGCCCCCUGCACCCGGAGGACGGGCAGCCAGCGUGCCGUCGUGAGCACCAACGCUGACGGGUAAAGGCCACGGCACAAAGGGCCACGUGAGUAACGCAGGGGGAGCCUCUGGCCUCUACGGAACACCGGAAACGGACUCCGAGAGACCGAUUCGGAAGAGAGACCCAAAGACCCGUAGCCUCGACCACACCCCGUCCACGUGGCCUGAGAAGGGUGUGAUGGGGAGACCCGGGACGCCGAUGGCCUUAUAGGAUCACGUGCCGCCUCCCACCAGGGAGCCCCUUUCCGGCUAGGACGGGAGCACGGGCUGGAACUGCCCCCGGACGCCAGCCCAGGCCUUCGGCCGGGAGCCGAGGGGGCGACUGCCCUGAGCGUCCCCGGGACGCCUGCCAUCAAGGGACAAAGCGACUGCCUGCCACCCAGGGGAAGGGAGAGCUCCUCAGACGGAAACAGUGGCGUCUACACCCUCCAGGGCACGGCUCGCUCACUCGCGCGCCCAAGCGUUCCACCGGGGGAACUUGGCCGCGUGCUCGGGGACGAGCGGGUACCUUUCUUCAGACCCAAAAUCCACAUGGUGUCCAGGGCGUCAAUCAGCGUAAGUCCCAGGCCAAACCACUCGCUGAAGGACCUGGACACGGGUUUCAGCUCGUCGUGGCCCCAGGCGAACUUGCGGUAGCCGGUCCACGCGUGGCGGAAGGCGUCUAUCACGGCCCUCUGACGCUCGUUCGGGGAGGCUGGGAGGAAGACGGCGGGUCGUGGGGACCGGAACCGCCCAGGGUUCAGACACCGCCCCUCUGCAGCCCCAGGCCGCGGGGCGCUCAGUGGGGCGGGGGGACACCGUCCGGGGCCGCAGGUCAGCAGCGGACGACCCCAAAGAUCGGGGCGCGGCGCCGCCGGGCUCGGAGCCGCACGGCUGGACGCGGCUGCCAAGGUGGCGAGGCCUCCAGGGCCCACACGCGACGGCGCGGCCUCUCAUCCGCCUGGCCUGCGCCCGUCCGCCUCCACCAGACGCCCGGCGGGCACGACUCUCUGGAGCUGCGGGGAACGCGCGGUGGGCGGCGGUGUUUGAGGCAGCAGACCGGUGCCUGCCGCUCCGCCACGGCAGCCGCGCUGUGCAAUCCGGCCGGGGGAGCAUCAGACGUGGCGGGCGGGCGGGCGGGCCCCGGUGACCUCCACGAGAGCGCCUCAUCUCACAGGUGCCCGCGUCGUGCCUCAGCAGCUCUGGGUGUUUUCGGGGAGGGAACAGCGUGUGGCAGACACACCCAAGGCCGCCCUGGGGCCCUUCCAGGGUGGCCGUGACGCCGACCGAGAAGGUUUCUCCCCUCCACACGUCGGAGGACCAGGCACGACUUACAGGGCCACCAGGCGGACAGAAACGUGGGCGUCGGCGGCUUCGCGACACGUGUCCUCUCGGUGUGGCCCGAGGCCCAGUGGUGUUGGUAUCUGCGGCUUUGACAUCGGUCCUCAGAGCCCCGCGACCGCUCUGCCUCCCCCCACACGCCCGGGCCGCCCGUCCGGGCUCUGGGCUCCUUCUUCCUCCUCCCCUCCUCAGUGGCAACAGCGACAGGACUGGAGGGUCACAGCCUGGGCCCCAGGCUCAGCUGACCCGGCGCGAGCCCCCGCUCCGGGAGGCAAAUGGCCGUGGCCGCUGCCGGCCUAACCUCGGUUCGCCCGUCCGUGGAACGGGCCUACGACAGACCGAUGACCUCAAAGGCCGCCACGAGAACCAAAGCAGACAGGCCGCACGGAGCGUACAAAGCGCCAGUGCCCCGGGGGCCCUCCACUACAGGUGCCAGAACGCAGGACCCCAGGACCCCACCGAGCCAGGGCCGUGUCUUCACUCUCCCCAGGCCCCGCGCUGGCACGGACGCGGGCAGUUCCCGCACAGGCGGCCUGUGGCUGCCGCGACGGGCCUGGGACCGCGGGCCGCCGUGGAGCCCCGUGUCCUCCCCAAGGCUCUACAGAGAGCUGGGGCCCGCCCGGGUGCCCAGCUGGGUGUCCACGCGCCCUCUCCGUCACCAUGUCCGGGUGAGGCCCGACGGGGCGCAGGCGGGGCCUUACCUGGUUGGUUCUGAAUCCCGGGGGCCUGUGAGGAAGGCUUGGUGGGGGGGCCCUCUGCCUUUCUCGAAGGGGGCUCGGUGCCCUGCUCCGGCUCGAUCACUGCACCCCUCCAGCUUCAGGGAGAGGAGGGAGAGGAGGAAGAGGAGUCAGCCGGCUUGAGGGCAGAGAUGCAAACGCCCGCGGUCACAGCCUGGCUGGGCUCGUGGCGGCCCUCCGCUCCAUGCGGCACGACGCGGAGAAGGCAGGGCCCCGCCCCCACCGGGGUCCCGCUCUCUCCACUGUCUGCUCUGAGAGGAGAAGCCGCUUCAGACAGCGCGCCGAUCCUAUCCCUUUGUUUUUCAGGAAACGUCAAACGGACCGGCCUCUGCGCAUCUAGCGACCCGUGCUGCCUCGUCUCUGACGCUCCCUGUACCUGACCACCGUUCUCUGUGUGCUCUCUUCCUGACGAGCGUCGCCCACCACCUCGUCCCUCCGCCUCGUGUCAUCCUGCCUCCGGUCCUUGGAGUCUUUGUCGGGGGCUCUAAUCUGCAGGUUGGGCGGUCCCCGUCGGAAAUGCCUCUGAGGCUUCUAGAUCGAAACAAGAGCCACUCGUGAAAACAGCUCAACGCCCCAGGAGCUGCCACUCCGUUUCCACCUGGGAUGCUCUCCCUGUCAGACCCAACCCCACGGACCGCGUGGAAUGGCUGGUGGCGCACGGCCCCCAGAGGAGAUGCCUUCCCGCUCCCACGGCAACAUGCAGAUUUGGCCAGAAGAUCCUUUCUCACGAUCUCCGGGCCCUGACCAACCGGGGCGGAGACUGUGCCAACGGGCUGGCGCAGCCCUGGGCAGUGGGUUAGCAUCCUGGCCCAGGAGGGUUCCAGGCCGUCACAGACCCUAAAGGUAGCAAUAAAGGGUCAGAGCCACGUCCCCGUGGAUGGAGGCGCAAAGAACACUGUCCCGGGCCUGUGCCCCAGGACCCCCACCCUUUGUGCUCAGAACCGGGUGGCCAGGGCACCGGGUCCAGGGACGGAGCGCAGGGGCCCAGGCGUAGCCUGUCGUCAGCAGAGGGCAGGAGGAGGCCCCUCCUCCGCAGGACACGGCAAGGAGGCCGACUCAGGGAUCGAGCACAUCUCUGCCGCCGCUCAGUACCCACAGGACCCGUGAAGAGGUCCUCGUUGUAAAGACGCCAGUGCCACGGAGCCGGGACCCCCGUGGCCAAGAGGAUGGGAUCUGGCCGCACACAAAGCACCGGGGCUGACCCAGGCCUGGGGCACGAGUGCCGGAGUCCGAGCAGCAGGAAAGGUCCCAGCGGCCCCGCCACAAGGGGCCCCGCGCCCCGAGGCCCGGACCCGGGGAGCCGUGCACACCGACCCCGGCCGCCACCACAGACGGGAUCACGGGCCUCCCGAGCAAUGGAAGCGUGUCUUUCGGCGGGCAACCGUGCAGGCGGGCUCUGCUCCCAUCGCCGUCACGAGAGCCCAGGUGCACGAGAGCGGCCAAGAGGAGCGAGAGACGUGCGUGUCGGCUCCACGAGGGAGGACGUGAGCUGUUUGACACACAGCCUCCGAGUGAGACGGUUUGCAGAGAGGCCUCCUGGCCGCUCCCCGUGGGGCCUGACCCCAGCCCCCUUCCCCGCCCACGCCCUCUGAAACUGCAGCUCCCUGAACAAGCCCAGCUCCCCCUGCCUCGGGCAACGUCACUGGACUCAAGCCCUGCUCUCCCGACUCUACCCAGGACCAGCGGCUGCCCAGUCUCACACCGCAGUUCAGCGUCCCGACCCCGGCCUCAUCCCUGGAGGCGACUGCUACUUUCCUCCCGGGAUGGACACCACGGCCACCGGCCUGCUCCCGCCGGCCUGCGGCUCCUCCAGACAAGGGGCGGGUCUGUUUCGCUCACCAGCAGGUAUCCAAGGGGAAGGAAGGAAAGAAUAUUCCUCCUCCUUGCCCCAAGCGUCACCCUACUGGCUCAGAAUAAGGGGCGCGGGGCGCGGGGCGCGAACAUCAGACAAACAACAAGGGAAAGGACUGCUCCCCCGUCCGUGUGGAACAUCACGCGCGGUUCUGAAACGCCCGUGGGACCGACCCCGGUCGCAACCCCACGUGUAGUUCACCGAACAUACCUGGGGUAAAAGCCCCGGCGAGUUUUCUGGAUUAGCAUCUGCCUUCUGAGGAGCCGGCAAGACGGGCGGAUCUGCUGGUCUCACCUUCCGCUCUUCCGCUGACCUGCCAUCCACGGCUAAACGAGAGAACAGAUUUUAUCCCAAACGUGCCGCACAGCCCCAAGGAGAGCCCGAGCGCGCGCGCGGAGGAACACGUCUAGGUGGGCGCUCCUCACCACGAGAGGACACCGUGAGACCUGGGGAAGGUCCUUUAAACCAACUCAAGAACGGCCAAGGGUAACCAAACCUUCCUCAAAGCACUUGGCAGCUUCUGUCCUGCAGCCCAGCCCACACGGACCUCCCCUCGGCGGCUUCCCUUCCAGGAAGCGCAGACGCUGGCCUAUGUGCAGCUGUCUCCAGCCGCCUGCAGCAGCUCCUGAGCUUUCCUCCCCCACAGGGGUUCCCUACGCCCUCACCCAGACUGCCCGGCCGCUCGGAACACACGGUAACACGUGUGAGGAAGUUCAGGGAGCGUGUCUGGACGGGGCACGCGACCUCAGGACCCGAACGUCUCCGUGAGGCACAGAGAACGGAGAGGCCGGCCCUUCCACCGGACACCCAGGAAGCAGGCGGGCAACAUCACAUUAACUCGAGCCACGUUCUAGCAGGGUGGCUAAAGACACUCUCCGCUCCUUUUCAUCUGCGCUUCUCGCCAAUUCGCAGACGCUCCAGGCGCUUAAGGCGCACGGCCAGGCCGCUUCUGCCCAGCCACCCGCAGUCAGUGACGCACACGCAUGGGGUUGAGGCACACGCGCAGCCGGUACCUCUCCACUGGUCAGCCACGCUGAUGUAGGACAGGAGCCCGCAGAGCAGGAGAAACGUGAGGAAGAAAAGGAUCACGUUGCGCUGUAAUCUCGACAGCUGCUUCCAUUUCUACGGGACGGAAAACAACACAGCUGGGACCCGUGCGACCGCUGCAAAUUCAGGGAGGACAGUGGGUAACUCCCAAGGUCCGGUUUCUGAACCGGGGGAAGCGCCCCGGCGGCAGAGACUGACGAGCCGCGGGGAUAUUCCAGACGGUAUAGGGGAACGGAAAUAAACAACAGACGCAGAA